rnacentral:rRNA from 1 species
AUGCAAGGAGUUCUCGGAGACGGAAAUGCAGAUGCACUAUUCCAAAUAGGACCACUGAAAGCCCCAGAACCAGAUGGGUUCCCAGCUAGGUUUUAUCAAAGAAAUUGGGCUGUUUUAAAGGAUUCUGUGGUUGCUGCGGUAAGGCUAUUUUUUCACAACGGACACAUGCCAUCCGAAACAAAUGCAACCGCUAUUGUCUUGAUCCCCAAGUCUGAUCAACCAGAGACAUUGAAGGACUUCCGGCCCAUCAGUUUGUGCUCGGUGUUGUACAAGAUCGUCGCCAAAUGCCUGGUGAACAGACUGCGUCCAUUAUUGGGUGAGAUUGUCUCCUUAAACCAGAGUGCCUUCGUUCCUGGACGUAUGAUGACUGAUAAUGCACUGGUGGCAUUUGAAUGUUUUCACAGUACUGAACACUGCAAGAAACAACAAGACUCCUUCUGUGCAUACAAGCUGGAUCUAUCAAAGGCGUAUGACAGAGUUGACUGGGAUUUUCUUAGAAGAACGAUGCAAAGCUUGGGUUUUGCUCCCCGAUGGGUUGAUUGGAUCAUGUCCUGCGUGACCUCGGUGAGCUAUUCCGUAAAAUUCAAUGGAACCCUACUUGAUUCGAUUUCCCCAACUCGAGGUCUUCGCCAAGGUGAUCCACUGUCUCCGUUUUUGUUCUUGUUUGUUGCUGAUGGUCUCUCUGCACUGAUGCAACAUGAAGCAACACAAGGCACAAUAACUCCUCUUAAGGUAUGCCAGCGAGCACCAGGUAUAUCACACUUGCUUUUUGCCGAUGAUACACUUUUGUUCUUUAAAGCAGAAGUGGGGCAAGCACAUAGAGUGAAGCAUGUUCUGGAAGUGUAUGCUAAAGGUACGGGACAAAUGAUAAAUCCACAAAAGUGCUCAAUCUUGUUCAGCCCGGCAUGUCGGCAAGGAAUUCGGGAGGGUAUUAGGAGUAUCUUGCAAGUCACACAAACCGCCUUCGAAGCCAAAUAUCUUGGCCUACCAACACCCGAUGGCAGGAUGAGCAAAGGGAAACUAAAGAGCCUACAGGAGAAGCUAGCAAAGAGCCUAAUGGAAUGGGGUGAUAAUCAUCUAUCCAUGGCCGGGAAGGAGAUAAAAAUCAAAGCUGUGGCGCAGGCACUACCGGUGUAUAUUAUGAGUGUCUUCAAACUCCCAGUUGGCCUAUGCGAUGAUUUAACACAGAUGAUCCGUCAGUAUUGGUGGGGAGCAGAGAAAGGAAAACGCAAGACCCAC